CACGUAGUUAGCCGGUGCUUAUUCUUCAGGUACCGUCAUUAGCGAAGGAUAUUAGCCUCUACCGUUUCUUCCCUGACAAAAGAGCUUUACAACCCGAAGGCCUUCUUCACUCACGCGGCAUUGCUGGAUCAGGCUUGCGCCCAUUGUCCAAAAUUCCCCACUGCUGCCUCCCGUAGGAGUCUGGACCGUGUCUCAGUUCCAGUGUGGCUGGUCGUCCUCUCAGACCAGCUACUGAUCGUCGCCUUGGUGAGCCUUUACCUCACCAACUAGCUAAUCAGAUAUCGGCCGCUCCAGGAGCACAAGGUCCGAAGAUCCCCUGCUUUCAUCCUUAGAUCGUAUGCGGUAUUAGCGUAACUUUCGCUACGUUAUCCCCCACUCUUGGGUACGUUCCGAUAUAUUACUCACCCGUUCGCCACUCGUCAGCGGAGCAAGCUCCCUGUUACCGUUCGACUUGCAUGUGUAAAGCAUGCCGCCAGCGUUCAAUCUGAGCCAGGA
rnacentral:rRNA from 1 species